GACGAACGCUGGCGGCGUGCUUAACACAUGCAAGUCGAACGGAGUGGCGAACGGGUGAGUAACACGUGGGUGAUCUGCCUUGCACUUCGGGAUCAGCUUGGGCAACUGGGUCUAAUACCGGAUAGUGCAAGAUGAGCUCGCGGCCUAUCAGCUUGUUGGUGGGGUCAUGGCCUACCAAGGCGUCGACGGGUAGCCGGCCUGAGAGGGUGUACGGCCACAUUGGGACGGAGAUACGGCCAAGACGCGUACGGGAGGCAGCAGUGGGGAAUAGUGAACAAUGGGCGGAAGCCUGAUGCAGGGAGGCAGGGUGGGGGAUGAAGGCCUUCGGGGUGGAAACUCCUGUCGACAGGGACGCGGUACCUGUAUAAGAAGCACCGGCUAACUACGUGCCAGCAGCCGCGGUAAUAC
rnacentral:rRNA from 1 species